UACGAAGGGUGCAAGCGUUGUUCGGAUUUAUUGGGCGUAAAGCGCGCGCAGGCGGGUAGGUAAGUCAGAUGUGAAAUCUCGGGGCUCAACCCCGAAACUGCGUCUGAAACUGCUUAUCUAGAAUUUUGGAGAGGGAGGGAGAAUAUCGCAUGUAGGGGUAAAAUCCGUAGAGAUGCGAUGGAAUAUCGGAGGCGAAGGCGCCCUCCUGGACAAGUAUUGACGCUGAGGCGCGAAAGCGUGGGGAGCAAACAGGAUUAGAUACCCUGGUAGUCCACGCUGUAAACGAUGAGAACUAGACAUUGCAGGAUUUGACUCUUGCAGUGUCGAAGCUAACGCAUUAAGUUCUCCGCCUGGGGAGUACGGUCGCAAGACUAAA
rnacentral:rRNA from 1 species